GAUGAACGCUGGCGGCGUGCCUAACACAUGCGAGUCGAGCGGAUGAAGGCAGCUUGUUCGUGGAUUCAGCGGGGGGCGGGGGAGUAAUGCACAGGAGUAUGCCUGGCCGUGGGGGCUGACGUCAGGAGGCGAGAGCUGAUAACACAUGCGAGCAGAGGGUGAAGCUGGGGGGUCUUCGGAAAUUACCGGCUCAGCUGAGCCUAGGUGGGAGUAGCUAGUUUGUGGGGUAAGGGGCUACCUAGGCGGCGAUCCGUAGCUGGUCUGAGAGGAUGAUCGGCCACACUGGAACUGAGACACGGUCCAGACUCCUACGGGAGGCAGCAGUGGGGAAUAUUAGGCAAUGGGCGAAAGCCUGACCCAGCCAGGCCGCGUGUGUGAAGAAGGUCUUCGGAUCGUAAAGCACUGUUAUUGGGGAUGAACAGCUGUAGGUUAAGACGUUGCUGUAUUGACGGUACCAACUGAAGAAGCACCGGCUAACUACGUG
rnacentral:rRNA from 1 species